GAUAAUUGUUCGUAUUGUGACAACGAAAUAUUUUAUUAUAUCAGCAGAGCCCGACGAUGUGUGUUAUUUUGUCACAAGUUUUUCAAAGAAAUGUAUUACAAAUUCAUCAUAUAGUAUUCAUUUGUUUGUUGUUGUUGGUGCUGAUGGUUUCAUUGCUGCAAAUGCCAAAAUGCCAUGGACCUGGGAAUGCAAGGUAAAUAAGUAUAAUGCAAUGCGAGCACAAUAGAUGGAAUUUUUAUCACAUGUAAAACAACAAUGAAAGCAAAAUGCAAUUGCUGAGCAUCUGGCAACACCACAAGCCUCCAAUCCCGGCAAAGCUACCAAGCCCAAUCCCAGAUCUCUGUCCUGGCAGUCCUGAAACAGAAGCCAUUUGUCAAAUGCGUCGCCAUCGUCGGUGGUUGCGUCGGUGAAGCGGUGCAGUGGUGCGGCGGUUCGACGUGACGGCGGCAUUGCCAAAUGCGCGGACGCUGAGCCGCAGAUAAAACCGUUCGGAAAGCACAAAACAAACAUCAAACAGGCAAACAAAAAGUACAACAACAAAACAUGCGCGAGCAUGAAUAUCAAAUGCGACACGCAGGCGACAACAACAACAACAUCAACAGCGGCAACAACAACAAUAGGAUGCGUAGCAAUAUUUUUCACGCGCUGUACAUCGAUGUAGAUAUAGAGGCAGAGAGUGAGAGAAAAUAACAGAAAGAGUGGGAGAGACAUUCAGAGGACUGCCGGCAUAUCCUUGCGCCAUAAUGGGAUUAUGGCCGAUUAAUGCAUUGACAUGUAACGAUUUUCGAUUGAAUUUAUCGUUUUUCGGUGGCUCGAGCCAUUUUAUUCAUUUACGCCCACACGUAUGCAACGGUAUUUGCUCGCACGCACACCACCAGCCCAUUCGCACACAUACAUGCGCACGUACACAAUGAGCACAUGUGUGUGUGUAGCUGCGGGUGUUAGAAAACAAAAGCGGCAUUGAGACAAGCCAACACAAUGGACAACGGACAUCAGACAAUGGACAAUAAACAGUGGACAACGGACAGGACAGUAUGCAAAACAAAACUAACGCCAAAUGUUGACGCUUCCUUUCAUAGGCCAACAAGCAACACUUGUGUAUACACUGUAAAUAUGUUAGCGGUACCGUACAGGCUUUGCAGAGAUUCCUAUCUAUAGUCCAUUUAUUCCGACAUGUUUCGAACACUUAUGCCUACCGUUACUUAUGACAAGUCAGGAAUGAGAUACAGGCUAAGCACUGUUAUUCCUGACUUCUAAUAAUAAUGUUAUUUUAUUUACUAUAAAUUGAUAUAUAUUUUCUGACCGUCUGACUGGUUGUUUGGCAGUCUGACUGUCUGACCGGUGGUCGACGAACACUUUAACACUUUUGGAAAAAUCACAAUUGUGUAAGAUUUAUGGAAAUGAUUGUAUAGAACCUUUUGGUUUUCAUCCGAACGGGCUAAAACUAUAUUUCAAAGAUCUUUUUGACAAAUACUUUAGGACGUGGUUAAUACGUAUCAUAGACCAAAAUUGGGAAAAGUAAAUGUAAAAUUUCAUCUGAGAUACAAAUUGGUCACGCAAUCAUCUCUUUUACCACUCGCUGAAAAUUUAAAAAAUGGUGUACAAUUGCUUGCAUAAAACAGCCUGUUGAAUCUCCAUGUAGCACAUAACAGUGUGAAUAUUAUUAUUAUCGUAGGUAGAUCAACCUAAAUAUUUAAUAACACAGGACAUAACAAUAUCGGAGAUCAGAGCACGGAUCCUAAGUUAGCAGAAUGAUUGGGCCACUGUAUUUGUUGUUGAUGUUGGUGAGAUUGUUUGAAAGCACUUUUUUGGCAAUUAAAACUAACAAUGCGCCGGAGCUGGUUAAAAGACAAAAGAGCCCCCGACGCGUCGGCAGCGCCGGCUGUGAUUAACACAUGUAAGCGACACAGUUGGCGAGCAUCAUCGGGGGAUGCAGGAUUUGCAGUAACAGGAACAGCAGCAGCAGUAGCAGCAGCAGCAAGCACAUGUGCCCUGUGUCCCUGUUGUCCCUGUGCCCACGGUUUGACUUUAUCAAUUGAGCGGCAUAAGCUUGUCCAGGGUGGCUUGGUGGUUGGUAACGGUUGCUCGAUUUCGUUGCAACUGUCGCCACUGGCGUCGAUUAAGUCGUAAUUAGAUUUAAGGAUAUGGCACCAGCGGCACAGCAAGAUGAUGAAUUUCUCUUGCUCGCAUCCUUUGCGUGCACACCCCACGGGGCCAGAGACUGCGCCUGCACGGACACGGCCAAAUGAGCAAUCCACUGUCCACAGGCGGCAAUCGGAGCCGGCACCCGGCAGCCGGGCAGCUUAUGGCAUGUUGUGCGACGUUAUCAGCAGGAGUCGUAGUGGUGGUCUGGUCUGGGCAGGGACAGGGAGAGGGACCGGGGUAUGAGCUGCGGACUAGGACCAACCCCUGCCGGCGCUGACGCGUGUGUUAAUCAGCGUAAUGGUACGUUAGUCCUGGCUCACAUGGGGGCUGAGAUGGCCUGCUGGUGGGCCAUAAGCUUGGCCCGAUUUCUUGAACUUACUUGCGCAUUAUUAGCAGCGGCGAAGAGUAUCCGUUGUGUCCUUGCUGGUGGCACUAUUAGCGUGGUGUCUGUCUGCCCGUCUGUCACUGGAUUUAUUGCAAUCAUUAAUCUUAUUUGCCCCGCCACCCCCGCCUGACGCACUCGCACUAGCCUCCCCUUACGUAUGUUGCACUUGUGUCUCGCAGUUUUUAUUAAAUUUUUGUUGUGUUUUCUCUA